CGCUGGUGCCGGUGUUCAGUUUCGGGGAGAACGAGCUGUUCCGGCAGGUUCCCAACCCGCCGGGCUCGCGGCUGCGGCGCCUGCAGCUGCGGCUGCAGCGGCUGCUGGGCCUGGCGCUGCCGCUCUUCCACGCCCGCGGAAUCUUCCAGUACAACUUCGGGCUGCUGCCCUUCCGCCGGCCCGUCCACACCGUGGUGGGGGCCCCCCUGGAGCUGCCGCGGCUCCCGGAGCCUUCGGAAGCCGAGGUGGAGCUUUGGCACCGGCGUUACCGGGAGCGGCUGCGGGAGCUCUUCGAGGAGCACAAAUCGGGGUACGGGGUCCCCCCCGAGCGCCGCCUCAGCUUCGUCUGAACCCCAAAAACCUCCCCGGACACCCCAAAAAAAUCGGGGGGGAACCCCCAAAUUUCUGUACCCCCGAAAAUGGAUUUUAAAGCCAAUAAAUCGCUUGGAAAUGAG